CCCUAGUAACUGCGAGUGAAGCGGGAAAAGCUCAAAUUUAAAAUCUGGUGGUCUUUGGCCAUCCGAGUUGUAAUUUAGAGAAGCAUCUUCCGCGCUGGACCGUGCACAAGUCUCCUGGAAUGGAGCGUCGUAGAGGGUGAGAAUCCCGUCUUUGGCAUGGACACACCAGGGCUUUUGUGAUGUGCUCUCGAAGAGUCGAGUUGUUUGGGAAUGCAGCUCAAAAUGGGUGGUGAACUCCAUCUAAAGCUAAAUAUUGGCGAGAGACCGAUAGCGAACAAGUACCGUGAGGGAAAGAUGAAAAGCACUUUGGAAAGAGAGUGAAACAGUACGUGAAAUUGUUGAAAGGGAAACGCUUGAAGUCAGUCGCGUCGACCGAGACUCAGCCUCGCCUUGGCUUGGUGUAUUUCUCGGCUGACGGGUCAGCAUCAAUUUUGCCCCUUGGAUAAUGGCGAGGGAAAUGUGACACCCUCUCGGGUGUGUUAUAGUCUCUUGUCGCAUGCAAGGGUCGGGAUUGAGGAACUCAGCACGCACCUUUGGGUGUCGGGGCUUUGCCCACGAUACGUGCUUAGGAUGUUGGCGUAAUGGCUUUAAACGACCCGUCUUGAAACACGGACCAAGGAGUCUAACAUGCCCGCGAGUGUUUGGGUGGAAAACCCAUUCGCGCAAUGAAAGUGAAAGUUGGGACCUCUGUCGUGGAGGGCACCGACACCCGGACCAGACCUUCUGUGACGGAUCUGCGGUAGAGCGUGUAUGUUAGGACCCGAAAGAUGGUGAACUAUGCCUGAAUAGGGUGAAGCCAGAGGAAACUCUGGUGGAGGCUCGUAGCGAUUCUGACGUGCAAAUCGAUCGUCAAAUUUGGGUAUAGG
rnacentral:rRNA from 1 species